GUGCCAGCAGCCGCGGUAAAACCAGCACCUCAAGUGGUCAGGAGGAUUAUUGGGCCUAAAGCAUCCGUAGCCGGCUAUGUUAGUUUUCGGUUAAAUCCAUGUGCUCAACACAUGGGCUGUCGAGAAUACUGCAUAGCUAGGGAGUGGGAGAGGUAGACGGUACUCGAUAGGAAGGGGUAAAAUCCUUUGAUCUAUUGAUGACCACCAGUGGCGAAGGCGGUCUACCAGAACACGUCCGACGGUGAGGGAUGAAAGCUGGGGGAGCAAACCGGAUUAGAUACCCGGGUAGUCCCAGCCGUAAACUAUGCAAACUCAGUGAUGCAUUGGCUUGUGGCCAGUGCAGUGCCGCAGAGAAGUCGUUAAGUUUGCCGCCUGGGAAGUACGUACGCAAGUAUGAAACUUAAAGGAAUUGGCGGGGGAGCACCACAAGGGGUGAAGCCUGCGGUUCAAUUGGAGUCAACGCCAGAAAUCUUACCCGGGGAGACAGCAGAAUGAAGGUCAAGCUGAAGACUUUACCAGACAAGCUGAGAAGUGGUGCAUGGCCGUCGUCAGCUCGUGCCGUGAGAUGUCCUGUUAAGUCAGGUAACGAGCGAGAUCCCUGCCUCUAGUUGCCACCAUUACUCUCAGGAGUAGUGGGGCGAAUUAGCGGGACUGCCGCAGUUAAUGCGGAGGAAGGAGGGGGCCACGGCAGGUCAGUAUGCCCUGAAACUCUGGGGCCACACGCGGGCUGCAAUGGUAGUGACAGUGAGUUCCUAAUCCGAAAGGAGGAGGUAAUCUUCAAACGCUACCACAGUUAUGACUGAGGGCUGCAACUCGCCCUCACGAAUAUGGAAUCCCUAGUAACUGCGUGUCAUUACCGCGCGGUGAAUACGUCCCUGCUCCUUGCACACACUGCCCGUC
rnacentral:rRNA from 1 species